rnacentral:rRNA from 1 species
AGUGAACGCUGGCGGUAGGCCUAACACAUGCAAGUCGAACGGCAGCACAGUAAGAGCUUGCUCUUACGGGUGGCGAGUGGCGGACGGGUGAGGAAUACAUCGGAAUCUACUUUUUCGUGGGGGAUAACGUAGGGAAACUUACGCUAAUACCGCAUACGACCUACGGGUGAAAGCAGGGGAUCUUCGGACCUUGCGCGAUUGAAUGAGCCGAUGUCGGAUUAGCUAGUUGGCGGGGUAAAGGCCCACCAAGGCGACGAUCCGUAGCUGGUCUGAGAGGAUGAUCAGCCACACUGGAACUGAGACACGGUCCAGACUCCUACGGGAGGCAGCAGGGGAAUAUUGGACAAUGGGCGCAAGCCUGAUCCAGCCAUACCGCGUGGGUGAAGAAGGCCUUCGGGUUGUAAAGCCCUUUUGUUGGGAAAGAAAAGCAGCAGGUUAAUACCCCGCUGUUCUGACGGUACCCAAAGAAUAAGCACCGGCUAACUUCGUG